rnacentral:lncRNA from 1 species
AAGAGUGUGAUCAAACCUUCAUUUAGAAAUCCCUUUGUUGCCUUAGAACGUGGACAAGGAUGGAGACACAAUGGAGGUGAGAGGAACAAUUUGAAAGUCAGAAUAGAAGCUGAAGCAGCUGCAACUAGAGGGUAUAGAAGUUCUAACGAGGUAGAAAGGAAGAAAAAGAAUCCAUGAAUUCUUGGCUCCGUGGGUUUCACUUCCCCUAACAGAGAGCAGGAAGAAAUUUCAACUUCAAAGUUUUCAACUUCUGUGAUAUCAGGACUUCAUAACUGUAAGAAUCAUCUAAGUAAAUCUGGUUUCUUAAAUAUAGGAGAAAUGGAGCGGGAAAAC